UACAGAGGUCUCAAGCGUUGUUCGGAUUCAUUGGGCGUAAAGGGCGCGUAGGCGGCUAACUAAGUCGGAUGUGAAAUCCCCAGGCUCAACUUGGGAACUGCAUCCGAUACUGGUCGGCUUGAAUCCGGGAGAGGGAUGCAGAAUUCCAGGUGUAGCGGUGAAAUGCGUAGAUAUCUGGAGGAAUACCGGUGGCGAAGGCGGCAUCCUGGACCGGCAUUGACGCUGAUGUGCGAAAGCUAGGGGAGCAAACGGG
rnacentral:rRNA from 1 species